UACGGAGGAUCCGAGCGUUAUCCGGAUUUAUUGGGUUUAAAGGGAGCGUAGGUGGAUUGUUAAGUCAGUUGUGAAAGUUUGCGGCUCAACCGUAAAAUUGCAGUUGAAACUGGUAGUCUUGAGUACAGUAGAGGUGGGCGGAAUUCGUGGUGUAGCGGUGAAAUGCUUAGAUAUCACGAAGAACUCCGAUUGCGAAGGCAGCUCACUGGACUGCAACUGACACUGAGGCUCGAAAGUGUGGGUAUCAAACAGG
rnacentral:rRNA from 1 species